rnacentral:piRNA from 1 species
GAACUCCCAAGAUCCCUGCCCCACAGAA